UGGGGAAUAUUGCACAAUGGGGGAAACCCUGAUGCAGCGACGCCGCGUGGAGGAAGAAGGUCUUCGGAUUGUAAACUCCUGUUGUUGAGGAAGAUAAUGACGGUACUCAACAAGGAAGUGACGGCUAACUACGUGCCAGCAGCCGCGGUAAAACGUAGGUCACAAGCGUUGUCCGGAAUUACUGGGUGUAAAGGGAGCGCAGGCGGGAAGGCAAGUUGGAAGUGAAAUCCAUGGGCUCAACCCAUGAACUGCUUUCAAAACUGUUUUUCUUGAGUAGUGCAGAGGUAGGCGGAAUUCCCGGUGUAGCGGUGGAAUGCGUAGAUAUCGGGAGGAACACCAGUGGCGAAGGCGGCCUACUGGGCACCAACUGACGCUGAGGCUCGAAAGUGUGGGUAGCAAACAGGAUUAGAUACCCUGGUAGUCCACACUGUAAACGAUGAUUACUAGGUGUUGGAGGAUUGACCCCUUCAGUGCCGCAGUUAACACAAUAAGUAAUCCACCUGGGGAGUACGACCGCAAGGUUGAAACUCAAAGGAAUUGACGGGGGCCCGCACAAGCAGUGGAGUAUGUGGUUUAAUUCGACGCAACGCGAAGAACCUUACCAAGUCUUGACAUCCUGCGACGGUGCUGGAAACAGUACUUUCCUUCGGGACGCAGAGACAGGUGGUGCAUGGUUGUCGUCAGCUCGUGUCGUGAGAUGUUGGGUUAAGUCCCGCAACGAGCGCAACCCUUAUGGUCAGUUACUACGCAAGAGGACUCUGGCCAGACUGCCGUUGACAAAACGGAGGAAGGUGGGGAUGACGUCAAAUCAUCAUGCCCUUUAUGACUUGGGCUACACACGUACUACAAUGGCGUUAAACAAAGAGAAGCAAGACCGCGAGGUGGAGCAAAACUCAGAAACAACGUCCCAGUUCGGACUGCAGGCUGCAACUCGCCUGCACGAAGUCGGAAUUGCUAGUAAUCGCAGAUCAGCAUGCUGCGGUGAAUACGUUCCC
rnacentral:rRNA from 1 species